UUUUGCCUCUGGUACCUGUUUGUCUGGAUGAGUUACUAUCGCACACACACACACACACACACACACACACACACACACACACACUGUAUUUGUGGGCAUCAGAAGAGGCCUGACUGAAACAUCUGCCACCACCAAAUGAUUCAGGAGCAGCACAUACGAGGUCAUCUCCGCUCGUAACGAAACUUUGUUGACGCUCGGCAGCAGCAGCGGCGGCGUUAUCCACGUGUGUGUCGCUGCGUGUUUAUGUGUGUGGUUUGGGCCCAGGAAGGGUGGAGUUCUUCUCGCGAAGAAUGUGGCCUAUUUAGCGAGAAAUUCAAGGGAUGUGGGUCAAAGCAGCAGAACAAUAGUGUCUGUCUGUCGGUCUGUCUGUCGCCCCCGCCGACAAUAGGACCCAGACAUUCCUCAAGUGGCGGCUUCCAAGAACUUCUCUGGGGGUGAGGCCCGUCGAUGGAAGGCGGAACUCCAUCAGCUAAUUGGCGCUAACAGGUGGAAAUCCGUUCGCUUGAUUAGAGCGCCUCGUUGUUGCGGCCUGAAAUUUCCGUCUGCAAUGUCCGAGCUCGCCACGCGAGGCUCUCCGGCCUGCCUCUUUCUUCUGCCUGUUUGAUGACGUCAACUUGUCACCUGAUUUUUUUUUUUUUUGCAUAACGCCCGCUUCUCUUUUCCGCCGCGCACUCUGGUCCACUGCUGAGCGCCGCCGGACGGAGGGAAAGAUGAAAUGAUGGGAGAAGAGAAGGAAGGUGUGAGGAAGUGGGAAUUCCUCGUCUAACGGCCUCCCUGAUAAAAGUCCCAAACAUGGCAGAUGUGCACGCCUUGACCUCUCUGAGACGCGGCGGUGCACACGUGCAGGCCAAAAGAACAGAAGAAGAAUUGCCUGCAAAAACACCAACAAAGAAGACAUUUAGUGCCAGGUGGACUAAAUUGCAAAUAUUCAAGAAAGAAAGGCCCAAAACAAGGGCCAGAGCAGGCCAGCCCAGCCCUCCUACCUGACCACGAGCAGCAGGGAGCGGCCGCCCCGUGGACGUAUCUCCAACCACAAAAGUGCUACUGGUUAGGGAACGAGGAAAUCAGACCCGACUAAUCUUUGCAGGCCACCGGACAGAGCAGAGCGCCUUGUUACUAGGCGGGUGCUCGAUGGCGCACUCCAUCGGCUCCUGCUUGAUGCAUUCCACCAUCUGCUGAUCCAAAGGAGUGGGCUGAAGAUGACAUCAAGAACCAUCUACAUCCAGCUUUCCAUCUAAUAUCUUGCAGCGAUCUGAAAGGCGUGGGAGCGCAAGGAGACGAGUCCAAGAUGGAGCGACAAAUGUUCGGAGUGUUGAACCUGCCGCAGAAACACACCCAUCGUUUACGUGGUCCAACUCCGAGUUUGGAAAGCAAAACGUGGAUCGCCACUCACAUGUCAUCCUUCGGAACCUUGACGUCCACAGGCGAGCUCAUGGGAAGAUGCUCGCUGUCUGAGUGCUCCGGACUCAUCGAUUGGCUCAGCAACUGCGCCGCAAAAAGAAACUUAGGUGAGCGAGAACACCUGCCGAGCGCCGAGGGAGUUUCCAGCGGAACGUUAGCCGCCCCGCUAAUGAUUACGGACGCACCUGGCCGGAAAGGCGAGCCGCCAUAGGGCGUGGCCAAUAAACACCUUGCAGGUCCUUUGAUGAGUUCUGGGUUGAGAACUUUCUGCCACCGGUGCUGGCACUGCACAUCUGUGCGGUU